GGGGAAUCUUGCGCAAUGGGCGAAAGCCUGACGCAGCAACGCCGCGUGAGGGAUGACGGCCUUCGGGUUGUAAACCUCUUUCAGGAGGGACGAAGCUUCCAGGGUUAAUAGCCCAUGGGGUGACGGUACCUCCAGAAGAAGCCCCGGCUAACUACGUGCCAGCAGCCGCGGUAAUACGUAGGGGGCAAGCGUUGUCCGGAAUCAUUGGGCGUAAAGCGCGUGUAGGCGGCUUGGUAAGUCUGGUGUGAAAACUUGGGGCUCAACCCCAAGCCUGCACUGGAUACUGCCUGGCUAGAGUCCGGGAGGGGAGAGCGGAAUUCCCAGUGUAGCGGUGAAAUGCGCAGAUAUUGGGAAGAACACCGGUGGCGAAGGCGGCUCUCUGGAACGGUACUGACGCUGAGACGCGAAAGCGUGGGGAGCGAAC
rnacentral:rRNA from 1 species